UACGGAGGGGGCUAGCGUUAUUCGGAAUUAUUGGGCGUAAAGGGCGCGUAGGCGGCCCGGUAAGUCAAAGGUGAAAUCCCUCGGCUCAACUGAGGAACUGCCUUUGAAACUGUCGGGCUUGAGGCCGGGAGGGGGUAGCGGAAUUCCCAGUGUAGCGGUGAAAUGCGUAGAUAUCGGGAGGAACACCAGUGGCGAAGGCGACUACCUGGCCUGUUCUUGACGCUGAGGCGCGAAAGCUGGGGGAGCAAACAGG
rnacentral:rRNA from 1 species